AGAGUUUGAUCAUGGCUCAGAAUCAACGCUGGCGGCGUGCCUAACACAUGCAAGUCGAACGCGAAAGUCCCGCAAGGGAUUAGUAGAGUGGCAAACGGGUGAGUAACACGUGGGUGACCUGCCUUCGAGUGGGGGAUAACGUCCCGAAAGGGACGCUAAUACCGCAUAACAUCCUGCUUUUUAAGAGGUGGAGAUCAAAGCCGGGGAUCGCAAGACCUGGCGCUUGAAGAGGGGCCCGCGUCCGAUUAGCUAGUUGGUGGGGUAAUGGCUCACCAAGGCAACGAUCGGUAUCCGGCCUGAGAGGGCGGACGGACACACUGGGACUGAGACACGGCCCAGACUCCUACGGGAGGCAGCAGUGGGGAAUUGUUCGCAAUGGGCGCAAGCCUGACGACGCAACGCCGCGUGGAGGAUGAAGAUCUUCGGGUCGUAAACUCCUUUCGAUCGAGACGAAUAGCCUGCGGGUUAACAGCCGGCGGGAAUGACGGUACCGAGAGAAGAAGCCCCGGCUAACUCCGUGCCAGCAGCCGCGGUAAUACGGGGGGGGCAAGCGUUGUUCGGAAUUACUGGGCGUAAAGGGCUCGUAGGUGGCCAACUAAGUCAGACGUGAAAUCCCUCGGCUUAACCGGGGAACUGCGUCUGAUACUGGAUGGCUUGAGUUCGGGAGAGGGAUGCGGAAUUCCAGGUGUAGCGGUGAAAUGCGUAGAUAUCUGGAGGAACACCGGUGGCGAAGGCGGCAUCCUGGACCGACACUGACGCUGAGGAGCGAAAGCCAGGGGAGCAAACGGGAUUAGAUACCCCAGUAGUCC
rnacentral:rRNA from 1 species